UACGUAGGGGGCGAGCGUUGUCCGAAGUUACUGGGCGUAAAGCGCGCGUAGGCGGGCUGUUAAGUGAGAGGUGAAAGGCUGGGGCUCAACUCCAGCAGUGCCUCUCAUACUGGCAAGUCUUGAGGGCGGUAGAGAGAAGUGGAAUUCCCGGUGUAGUGGUGAAAUGCGUAGAUAGUCGGGAGGAACACCAGUGGCGAAGGCGGCUUCCUGGCCCUGUUCUUGACGC
rnacentral:rRNA from 1 species